CUCAGAACAAACGCUGGCGGCGUGUCUUAAGCAUGCCAGUCGGGCGGCAAGGGCAGCGAUGCCCCUAGAGCGGCGGACUGGUGAGUAACGCGUGGGUGAUCUACCAUUAGGGCAUGGGGAUAGCCAUUAGAAAUAGUGGGUAAUACCGAAUACGCUUGCACAGGUGAAGCUGUGUAAGGAAAGGUGCUACGGCAUCGGCCUAAAGAUGAGCCUGCGUCCCAUUAGCUAGUUGGUGAGGUAAGAGCCCACCAAGGCGAUGAUGGGUAGCCGGCCUGAGAGGGUGUACGGCCACACUGGGACUGAGAUACGGCCCAGACUCCUACGGGAGGCAGCAGCUAAGAAUAUUCCGCAAUGGACGAAAGUCUGACGGAGCGACGCCGCGUGGAUGAAGAAGGCCGAAAGGUUGUAAAAUCCUUUUGCUGGGGAAGAAUAAGUCUGGGAGGGAAUGCCCGGAUGAUGACAUGAACCGGCGAAUAAGCCCCGGCCAACUACGUGCCAGCAGCCGCGGUAACACGUAGGGGGCGAGCGUUGUUCGGAAUUACUGGGCGUAAAGGGCAUGUAGGCGGUUUUGUAAGCUUGGCGUGAAAGUCCACGGCUCAACUGUGGGAUAGCGUUGAGAACUGCGAAGCUUGAGUUAUGGAGAGGGAGCUAGAAUUCCUGGUGUAGGGGUGGAAUCUGUAGAGAUCAGGAAGAAUACCAAUGGCGAAGGCAAGCUCCUGGCCGAUGACUGACGCUGAGGUGCGAAAGUGUGGGGAUCAAACAGGA
rnacentral:rRNA from 1 species